rnacentral:sRNA from 1 species
AUGACGCGGCGCCGGGUCGCCGCCGCAGAUUCGACACAAAACCCGGAAGGACCCCGCCGAAGGUUUUCUCCGGUUCGUGAGAGGGACGGAGUCCCGCUCUGUCACGCAGGCUGCCAGGCUGGCGUACAGUGGCGCAAUCUCAGCUCACUGCAACCUCCACCUCCUGGGUUCAAGCGAUUUUCUUGCCUCUGCCUCCUGAGUAGCUGGGAUUACUGGCACACACCACCAAUGCACAGGGAGCUAUGAGACAUCAAUCAAUAUAUGUAAGAUGUACAUCAGUUUCAUCUGGAGAGAUGGGACAACAUGAAGCAGGGAGGGGGCUCCCAGGUCACAGUUGCAGGAAUUUAGCCAAUUCAGAGAUCUUGUUCUCCAUAAUUUGGAAUUUUCCUUCGGAUUUGAUCAAGUUGGAUAGAGUUGGUCAAACCCAAUGGGAAAAAGAUGAAAACAACAAGAAACAGAAACAAACAACAACAGCAACAACAACAAAAACAGUUAAGUGAAACAAACAAACAAUCACACAAU